rnacentral:rRNA from 1 species
GAUAGUGCGACGCCGCGUGAACGAGGGAGCCCUUCGGGGUGUAAAGUUCUUUUCUAUACGAGCAGUGCUAUAUAUAUGGAUAGUAUAUAUAGAGGGAUAGUAGUAUAGGAAUAAGCAACGGCUAACUCCGUGCCAGCAGCCGCGGUAAUA